rnacentral:rRNA from 1 species
UGAGGAAUAUUGGACAAUGGGUGAAAGCCUGAUCCAGCCAUCCCGCGUGCAGGAAGACGGCCCUAUGGGUUGUAAACUGCUUUUAUCUGGGGAUAAACCUACUUACGUGUAAGUAGCUGAAGGUACCAGAAGAAUAAGCACCGGCUAACUCCGUGCCAGCAGCCGCGGUAAUACGGAGGGUGCAAGCGUUAUCCGGAUUUAUUGGGUUUAAAGGGUCCGUAGGCGGACUGAUAAGUCAGUGGUGAAAUCCGACAGCUUAACUGUCGAACUGCCAUUGAUACUGUUAGUCUUGAGUAAGGUUGAAGUGGCUGGAAUAAGUAGUGUAGCGGUGAAAUGCAUAGAUAUUACUUAGAACACCAAUUGCGAAGGCAGGUCACUAAGUCUUAACUGACGCUGAUGGACGAAAGCGUGGGGAGCGAACAGG